rnacentral:rRNA from 1 species
ACUCAAAGGAAUUGACGGGGGCCCGCACAAGCGGUGGAGCAUGUGGUUUAAUUCGAUGCAACGCGAAGAACCUUACCUACCCUUGACAUCCAGAGAAUCCUGUAGAGAUAUGGGAGUGCCGAAAGGAACUCUGAGACAGGUGCUGCAUGGCUGUCGUCAGCUCGUGUUGUGAGAUGUUGGGUUAAGUCCCGUAACGAGCGCAACCCUUAUCCUUAGUUGCCAUCAUUUAGUUGGGGACUCUAAGGAGACUGCCGGUGAUGAACCGGAGGAAGGCGAGGACGACGUCAAGUCAUCAUGGCCUUUAUGGGUAGGGCUACACACGUGCUACAAUGGGCAGUACAGAGGGCAGCAAGACCGCGAGGUUUAGCCAAUCCCUUAAAGCUGUUCGUAGUCCGGAUUGGAGUCUGCAACUCGACUCCAUGAAGUCGGAAUCGCUAGUAAUCGCGAAUCAGAAUGUCGCGGUGAAUACGUUCCCGGGCCUUGCACACACCGCCCGU